UGUCUGCAGCAUACUUCACCAUCAAGGCGUUCUUGCUUCUCACGUCCAAUUCAUUGCUUAGUUUUUGACUGUGGUGAACCCAAAAGAAAUAGGAAUCAUGAAGUUUGUUUUUCAUGGCACUCUAUUAUUAUUCGCCAUAGUGUGCUUCAUCACCUUGGAAGAUACUUUUGCACUGGAGAGACGUAAUGCAAGAGAUUUACGACGAGAAAGGCUUGGUGGACCCGUACAUGGAAAACUGAAGGGUCCCUUGCUACUAUCACCGGAACAAGCGCAAAUUUUGGAAAGUAAGUACCUUUGUCUGAUACCAUCCUGCGAGC